UUUCAAAAUAAGAUUUUAGCUCAAAAAGCUCACAUCAGAAUGUAAACAUCUAUCUUUGCUGUCUUUCUAACUUUUGUAAAAAGCUGAUUAUUUUGGAAGUUACUCGCUUGUUGUUUGUCUCAUAUGUGGUCAACAAGAUGAUGCAAAAUAUUAAUGGUGUCUAAUGAAUCACAAGAAAAGUGGAUUUGCAAAGGAUUACAAUGGCAGCUGCAGCCUCUCUAGUGACAGUCCUGAACUACAGUGGAACGAUUUGUCACAUUGUGAGCAAGAAUACGGCCUCUCUCCUGUGUGGAAUCUCCGAUGUACUGUCAAUUGUACAGCCGUGGCGAAACCUUUUCCACAGGAUUCACACUGAUAAGGCCGCUCCCCUGUGUGAGUGCGUGAAUGCACCAGCAAGGCCCCAGAGCUACAGAAGGACAUACCACAUGUGCUGCACAGACUGGUCUCCAAGCAAUGUUUGAACCAGCUCCAUAAAUGCUGACUUUGAAAUCUCCACCUCUCCAUCUUGGUCCUGUCAAGAAGCCCAGGAGAAGUUUAUUUAUAUGAAUGAAUUAUUGGUUUUCCAUUAAAACAUCACUCCUACUUAAAAUGAACAGUUUAUGAAUUUCUGCAUUGACAUCUCAUAGUAACGGACAUCUAAAGCUACUUAGACAUCUAUGACAUUGUCUUCUCAUGUAAAACAUCCUGCCAUUAA